AUGGAACAGAAAAGAGAGUGGUAUUUUGUCAGGAACUGGCAGACCUUAACUCUGCGUUUCUGUGUCUUAUUAGAUAUGAUCUUCCUUCAGGGAUCAGAGGUCAUAUUUAAAGUGGCUUUAAGUCUUUUGGGAAGCCAUAAGCCCUUGAUUCUGCAGCAGGAGAACCUGGAAACCAUAGUGGACUUCAUAAAGAACACACUACCCAACCUGGGCUUGGUGCAGAUGGAGAAGACCAUCAACCAGGUGUUUGAGAUGGACAUCACCAAACAGCUACAAGCCUACGAGGUUGAGUACCAUGUGCUCCAAGAAGAACUUAUCGAUUCCUCUCAUCUCAGUGACAACCAAAGAAUGGAUAAAUUGGAGAAAACCAACAGCAGCUUACGCAAACAGAACCUUGAUCUCCUGGAACAAUUGCAGGUGGCAAAUGCUAAGAUCCAAAGCCUUGAAGCCACGGUGGAGAGGCUUCUAACCAGCGAGAGCAAGAUGAAGCAGGCUGCACUGACCCUGGAGCUGGAACGCUCCGCCCUGCUGCAGAUGGUGGAGGACCUUCGAAGGCAAAGUGCCCAGCCCAGCACUCAGGAGCCGGAUUGUACCCAGCCCGAAUCUACCGGUGACUGACAGCUUCCAGGAGAGAGUGCACACCUCUAACACUGUCCAGGCCUUAAUCAGGAGAGACGGGAGCUGGAGGCAGAGAAGAGAGGACUCCUCAGGGAGGAAUUGGCUCGCCAGCCCGCAGAUGCUUUCGAGCUCAGACUUGGAGUUGGGAGGGCAAAAGUCCCAGAGUUUUUGUUUUCAGUUCUAUUUCAUCCCCCUUUCAGUCCUGGUUUUUGUAGCUUUAGACAGCAUGGACAUGCAUAAAUGUACCUUUCUGUUUCCUCCUUCAGAGGCACAUUGUUUGAGAAGAGCAUUCAUGACACCAGUGUUUCAGAACCAAGAAGGGCUUGAAAUAAUUCCUCAGGCAAAAGUGUGAUCUUUGUCAGUCUGUAAGGAAAGGUUGCUGAGACCAUGCCCCUUGGUGUCACCUGAGGUGACCAUGGGGAACGACUGAGAGGGGUUUAUUUAAAUUGGAUGCAUUGAUCGUUACUGACUCCACUAUCACUCCCACUGGUACUGAAGAAACUCGUCUUUUACACAGUGUUUUAAUGUUUUUUGCUCAUCCUUUCAAGUCAUGGUAGAUAAAUGUUUCAUAAGGAAAUCACAGUUUUUAGACUCCCUGUUCUUGCUAGUGUGUGACUGCAGCUAUGGGGUCUGAAAUAUUUAUUUGCGAGUUUCAUAUCCACACUAUAGGGUCACUUAUUUAUUUUUGCCUAUUGAAUGAUGUUCACAGCCAUGUCUUCCUUUGAGUCUUGACCCCUUGGAGGUAACGGUGGGGGGGGGGGCUCCUUUCCACAUUGUAUUUUAUUAUUUGAAUGUUUGAAAAUGUUGAAUUUUGGACUUGUUACUACUGUUCAAAAACAUUGAAUCUACAGUAAGAAACAAGAAAGCAAUAAACCAGAUUAUUCACACCUUUGUCUUCAUGGUGUCU
rnacentral:lncRNA from 1 species